rnacentral:rRNA from 1 species
UACGAAGGGGGCUAGCGUUGCUCGGAAUCACUGGGCGUAAAGCGCACGUAGGCGGAUUGUUAAGUCAGGGGUGAAAUCCUGGAGCUCAACUCCAGAACUGCCUUUGAUACUGGCGAUCUUGAGUCCGGGAGAGGUGAGUGGAACUGCGAGUGUAGAGGUGAAAUUCGUAGAUAUUCGGAAGAACACCAGUGGCGAAGGCGACACACUGGCCCGUAACUGACGCUGAGGCGCGAAAGCGUGGGGAGCAAACAGG